CGCGGGGUGGAGCAGCUAGGUAGCUCGCUGGGCUCAUAACCCAGAGGUCACAGUUUCAAAUCCUGUCCCCGCUA
rnacentral:tRNA from 1 species